GACGAACCGUGCGAACGUUGUUCGGAAUCACUGGGCUUAAAGGGCGCGUAGGCGGGCGGCCAAGUCAGGGGUGAAAUCUUUCGGCUCAACCGGAAAAGUGCCUCUGAUACUGGUGGCCUCGAGGGAGGUAGGGGUCUGCGGAACUUCCGGUGGAGCGGUGAAAUGCGUAGAUAUCGGAAGGAACGCCGGUGGCGAAAGCGGCGGACUGGACCUCUUCUGACGCUGAGGCGCGAAAGCCAGGGGAGCAAACGGG
rnacentral:rRNA from 1 species